AAGUGUUACAGCUCUUUUAGAAUUUAUCUAGCAGGUUUUCCGGUCUUUACCAGAAGACCCCC
ensembl:snRNA U7 U7 small nuclear RNA